rnacentral:lncRNA from 1 species
AAUGGUGACACAAAACUUGCUGUGCCAUUUAAUUAGGUAACCAAGCGAUAUUUAAAAAACAAACAAACAAGGUUUGGUUAACCCAAUGAGCUCUUAAUAGAACUCAUUGGUUUAGCCCAUGUCUUCGAGUGUAUCCAUUGAAAUCUGAACACUUAAUUAUUGAAUAAGUAAUUAAGGUUGAGCGAUAUAAUAUAUCAUAUUUCGAUAUAUUAAAGCAUAAACAUGGCCUCUCUUAGCUUAUGUACAAGUCAAGACUCUUGAAUGUGAUCGACAAAUUUCCUUUAGCGCACUUUAAGAAGCUAGAUGUCUCCAGGACCUUCAUAUCCGCAGUCUACAAGUCCAAAACGUUGAGGAGGAAAAAGUUCAACAAAUGGAGUUAAAAAAACAGCCUUGGCCAAUCCCCUCAAGUCCAUGAGGGCCGACGCAAGAGAUCUCAGGGUUUCGCUUAGGACUGUAUAGAGAGCCAUCAAAAAAGUGGGUGGAAAGAGCCUUAUUUUAAUGGACCACUCGGUAAAACUGUUGGAGCAGUAAAAGUUCGCCUCCAAUUGCAAUCAUUGUAGUGUUGUACACUAUGGACACGGCAUUCAUCGAGAAUCUUUUCGUCGUCGUGUCAAGGCUGUUAUUGGUUGUGCCGAAGAAUAUAUUAAAUUUAAAAUUAGCUUAAUAUAUAUACUAUUUGUACAUAUCACAAAUUGACCAAAUUUAUUAAAAAUCACGCAUUUUGUAA